GACUUAUUGGAAAAUCGCAUGUCUUUAUUACAUUGUAAUUACAUGUGUAAGUACAGUGUUUGGAUGGAUAAGUUGAAUUAUUAUUUAAUAUACAGGGAAUUGCUGACCUCUCAGCGAAAGUGUUUGUUUGUGUCCGAAUGGCACCCUUCUAUUUAUAGUGGACUACUUUUGACUAGGGUCCCUACAGGUCUCUGGUCAAAAGUAGUGCACUACACAGGGAGUAAUAUGCCAUUUGGGACUUAACCUGUAUGUAUUGUGAUGCCUCCCCCACUUCAGUGAGAAGAUUCGCUGGGAAUCCUUGGCCAGCUGGACCCUCCAACCUGUUCCACAACUUUCCCCCACAGGGAAAUCUGUAUCCUUCAAACUAUUGUCCAGAUUCAACUCCAAUUGCCGUUUUUAAGAUCAACGGUGAAAUUUUUUUAAUGGCAAAUUUGCCCUGAAAUCAAUAGGCCUGUGUUUGGAUAUCUCUCACAUCCAAGUCAUAGACUGUUCUCUCUGCUACCACACGGCAAGUGGUACCAAUGCACCAAGUCUGGAACCAACAGCACCCUGAACAGCUUCAACCUGCAAGUCAUAGACUGUUCUCUCUGCUACCACACGGCAAGUGGUACCAAUGCACCAAGUCUGGAACCAACAGCACCCUGAACAGCUUCAACCUGCAAGUCAUAGACUGUUCUCUCUGCUACCACACGGCAAGUGGUACCAAUGCACCAAGUCUGGAACCAACAGCACCCUGAACAGCUUCAACCUGCAAGUCAUAGACUGUUCUCUCUGCUACCACACGGCAAGUGGUACCAAUGCACCAAGUCUGGAACCAACAGCACCCUGAACAGCUUCAACCUGCAAGUCAUAGACUGUUCUCUCUGCUACCACACGGCAAGUGGUACCAAUGCCAAGUCUGGAACCAACAGCACCCUGAACAGCUUCAACCUGCAAGUCAUAGACUGUUCUCUCUGCUACCACACGGCAAGUGGUACCAAUGCCAAGUCUGGAACCAACAGCACCCUGAACAGCUUCAACCCGCAAGCCAUAAGACUGCUAAAUAGCUAAUCAAAUGGCUCCCUGUAUUGACUAUAUUUUGCACAAACUCUAUACACACAUACUGGACUCUACCCACACAUACACUGACACCCCAACACACACACACCACAUACGCUGUUGCUACUGUCUUAUCUAUCCUGUUGCCUAGUGACGUGACCCAAACCUAAAUGUACAGUACAUAGCUACCCCGUAGCCCUGCACAUCAACUCAGUUUUUUUUUCACCUUUAUUUAACCAGGUAGGCCAGUUGAGAACAAGUUCUCAUUUGCAACUGCGACCUGGCCAAGAUAAAGCAUAGCAGUGUGACACAGACAACAACAGAGUUACAUGGAGUAAACAAUAAACAAGCCAAUAACACAAACAAAUCAAUGACACAGGAGAAAAAAGAAAGUCUAUAUACAGUGUGUGCAAAAGGCCUGAGGAGGUAGGCAAUAAAUAGGCCAUAGGAGUGAAUAAUUACAAUUUAGCAGAUUAACACUGGAGUGAUAAAUGAGCAGAUGAUGAUGUGCAGGUAGAGAUACUGGUGUGCAAAAGCGCAGAAAAGUAAAUAAAAUAAAAACAGUAUGGGGAUGAGGUAGGUAGAUUGGGUGGGCUAUUUACAGAUGGACUAUGUACAGCUGCAGCGAUUGGUUAGCUGCUCAGAUAGUUGAUGUUUAAAGUUGGUUAGGGCAAUAAAAGACUCAACUUCAGCGAUCUUUGCAACUGCAAUACUGGUACUCCUAUAUAGCCAUGUUAUUUUCUACUCCCUGUGCAUAGCCAUGUUAUUUUCUACUCCCUGUAUAUAGCCAUGUGUAAUGGUUUUCCUCCUCUUCGUCUGAAUUGGAGAGAAGGAUCGGAGGACCAAUAUGUGGCGUGUAUAGUAGCCUGGCAGUGUUGGCUGUGGCCAGAGGCAACAAGGAUGGAUAUUGACUUAUGUCCAUUGAACUUCAGAAGCUGGAAAAAAGGGCAUCGAUGUGUCUCUUGGAACCCUUUUCCCCUUGACCACUGGACUGACCCUUUGAUCGAGGUGGGAGACACCCCUUCCUCACUGUCUGCUCCAAUCACAGCAGUGUUACCUGCCUGCUCGGCCACGUUGUGCAGCGUGCUGGGGAGAUGCUGCAAGCAAGGGCCUGCCUGCACUGGUACCAGCACUAUGGUGUGGAGGAGCAGGACUUUCAGGAGGCUUUGGACUCAUGCUCAGCUGUCAUGCAGGAAUAUGGCACUCAGUGGCACCCCGGUAGGGCACUCAGUGGCACCCCGGUAGGGCACUCAGU